AUCGAACGCUGGCGGCAGGCCUAACACAUGCAAGUCGAACGAGUGGCGGACGUGUGAGUAAUGUCUGGGAAACUGCCUGAUGGAGGGGGAUAACUACUGGAAACGGUAGCUAAUACCGCAUACCAUCAGAUGCGCCCAGGUGGGAUGAGCGUGUUGGUGGGGUAACGGCUGACCAAGGCGACGGUCCCUAGCUGGUCUGAGAGGAUGACCGGCCACACUGGAACUGAGACACGGUCCAGACUCCUACGGGAGGCAGCAGUAGGGAAUAUUGCACAAUGGGCGAAAGCCUGAUGCAGCCAUGCCGCGUGUAUGAAGAAGGCCUUCGGGUUGUAAAGUACUUUCAGCGGGGAGGCGUUACCCACAGAAGAAGCACCGGCUAACUCCGUGCCAGCAGCCGCGGUAAUAC
rnacentral:rRNA from 1 species